AUUCCAUUGUCUGGAUAUAACAUGGUUUAUUGAGACAUCAUAGUAUUGCUGUAGAAAAGUUUGGGAACCAGGACGGGAGCGAGCACUGUGCAAAUUGCCCCCAUGGUUCCAUGUGACAAACAUGAUAUUUACAUUUAGUAAAAUUUUCCUGAGCAUCUUCAGGUAUGUCUUUAUCAGGCAAAGAGGGUCAGAGUUGAGCAAGACUGUAGCUCCUACCCCAAAGUUUCUCUUCCUCUAAGAGCAAGACACAGCAUAGAAACAGCUGCUGUCCAAGGUGGACACAGGCCAUGAGAUGCAUAUGGAAUCCUCCAGGUUCUUAGAGGUGGGGGUUUAAGGUUUCCAGAUGACGUGAGAUUAAUCUGAGUGUCUGUGGAAGGGAAAUUUGAAAUUGGGCCUUGAAGGAUGUUUGCAUCGAGAGAGAAACAAAGUCAUUCCUGGCAACAGACACAUGACAACGAAAACAUUGCCUUGGAGAGAGAACACAUGUUCCACCCAGAGCAUUUAAACUCAGGAAGUGUUUGAAUAAAAAGCUCCCUUCAGAAUUGGAGGGAAGGGAUAGUCUUUCUGAACUGACCUUAGUGACCAAAGAAAACUGAAUUCAGAACAGAUGCAAAGUGAGCUCCCAGGUGUUAGUCUGAGCCUACAUUUCACCUGUAACUCUUGUUUAUUCAGGACUCAUGAAAAAAUUGUGAAGAUGGCCUUUCAGAUAGCUAUCAGUUUGUUUGCAAGUAUAAGUGAGCAGCCUGAAGACUUUUACAGAAAAGCAUCCACAGCAUGGAGUAUGACGAGGCCUGGACUCACAAAUACAAACGUGCACAGCAGCCAGGAGCAGGUAAUCUAUACAAGGAAGCUGACCCCUCUAAGACAGUAGAGUGGUGGGGACUGUGGCAAGCUGAAGAGCACAUGUCUCAUCGAAAGCAGACUGUGUCUGUUUUCUCACCUCCUCUGGAUCAUAGCUAUGUGGGAAUAUGGGCCCUGUUACCACAUCCUCAAUUAUUUUAUUGAAAAGCCAGUUACCUGAACUUAAGGUAAAACCUUCAAACAUUUUAAAACAAUAGACAGAACAAAGGAAUCAUUUCUGAGUACCAAAUCCAAACCCUGGGUCCCAUGUGCAACCUUUGACCCAGACCAUGCUUCCCAGCUUCCCCAUCCCCUUCAUCUAACAUCCCCAAAACACCCAAACAGUUGACUAAUCUGCAACAGAUGCACAUGGAUUAUAACAAAAUCCCAACUCUACGGCAACCUCAGAUCUAAUGUGACCAGCCACAGUGUUCCAAUUAAAUUAUUUUUUCGAGUUUUAUUGCCAAUUUAAGUAUAUCUACAUUUUAGAUAAAGAUACAACAUUCAAAUAAACAUUUUUAUAUACUUUUAGCUCUACAGAUGUAUUUAAAGCCACCUAUUAUGUAAAAUAAUGUACUCAUUCAUAUUUUCACACUCACUUUUUAUGAAUCAAUUAACAUUCUUCAUAUGCAUCUUUGACAUCAAUGUCUUCCUCAUUAUUCUUGAACUCAUGUAACUCAGCUGUUUUAAGAGUUUCACUUUCACAUCAAAGUCAUUUGAGAAACAACAGCCCAUAAUGCCUGUUAUUGAGAAGGCGAUGGUGACCAUGGUACCCACUGAUGUUCCGUGAGGGCAGUUGCCAUUGUUUCUUUGGGCCUGUAGAUACAUAUCCACAAUGCAACCAAUCUCUGGACAGCACUUCCAUGGAAUAUUGCAAACACAUGUUCACAGCAAAUCCUCAAGGUUUGACAUUUUGGGGUGAAACCUUCAGGGAGAAUAACAAAGUCUCCAUUUAAUGACUUAGUCUCUUUUUACCGUGUGGUUCAGUUGGCGUCACAAAUUUCCAAAUCUAGUCCCAGCGGAGCUUGAUUUCGGGUGAAGUAUCUUUCUCUACAUUGUACUUUGCUGUUCAAAAUAGAGUCAUGGUGAUGGUACCCCAUAGUAUUAUAGGUCUUUUUCAGGGACAAUUACUGGGGAACACACACGUGCACACUGGAUACCAACACACUUGUGUCUCCGUACAUCACAACAGACUCACUUGGCCUAAGCAAACUCUCAUUUCCCUUUCAAUACCAGCAUGCUGGGAUUGGGGUCCGUGAUACCCUGAAUUUUUGAAUGUCACUCAAACAAGACUUGGGAGUGGGAAGUGAAGCUUAGGAAAUUUGAAUCAUUGGCAGAUCUGUCUCCCACGCCAGUAAAAGGCCACUUGCUCACGGUGUCAUGUGGCCCUGAAUGGAUUUUCACAGGCACAUCCCUGAUGUACAGUGACAAGCACUAUGUCGCCAGAAGGCACAUUGAUACUUCCAGUCUUUGCACAGUUCUGGGGGACAUCUGAGUUUCCUGGGGACCUCUGAAGCUCAGCUACCCAUUUAAUUUUUCCCUGAAAUGCAUGGGUGCUCUAAGCAGCUAACUAUCUGGGGUCCACAGAAGACCACGUCUUUCUGAAAAUUCUGUCUGUUAAUUUUAUUUCUUUCCUCCUCCCAGCACCCAGUGAUUGGGGACCUGUUACACUUAAGAUGUUUAACGAUGUGAG
ensembl:lncRNA